GUGACCUCAAAUCAGGUAGGACUACCCGCUGAACUUAAGCAUAUCAAUAAGCGGAGGAAAAGAAACUAACAAGGAUUCCCCUAGUAACUGCGAGUGAAGCGGGAAAAGCUCAAAUUUAAAAUCUGACAGUCUUUGGCUGUCCGAGUUGUAAUCUAGAGAAGUGUUAUCCGCGCUGGACCGUGUACAAGUCUCCUGGAAUGGAGCGUCAUAGAGGGUGAGAAUCCCGUCUUUGACACGGACUACCAGGGCUUUGUGAUGCGCUCUCAAAGAGUCGAGUUGUUUGGGAAUGCAGCUCAAAAUGGGUGGUAAAUUCCAUCUAAAGCUAAAUAUUGGCGAGAGACCGAUAGCGAACAAGUACCGUGAGGGAAAGAUGAAAAGAACUUUGGAAAGAGAGUUAAACAGUACGUGAAAUUGCUGAAAGGGAAACGCUUGAAGUCAGUCGCGUUGUCCAGGGAUCAACCUUGCUUUUGCUUGGUGCACUUUCUGGUUGACGGGUCAGCAUCAAUUUUGACCAUUGGAAAAAGAUUAAGGGAAUGUGGCAUCUUUGGAUGUGUUAUAGCCCUUGGUUGCAUACGAUG
rnacentral:rRNA from 1 species